UACGAAGGGGGCUAGCGUUGUUCGGAAUUACUGGGCGUAAAGCGCACGUAGGCGGAUUGUUAAGUCAGGGGUGAAAUCCUGGAGCUCAACUCCAGAACUGCCCUUGAUACUGGCAAUCUUGAGUCCGGAAGAGGUAAGUGGAACUGCGAGUGUAGAGGUGAAAUUCGUAGAUAUUCGCAAGAACACCAGUGGCGAAGGCGGCUUACUGGUCCGGUACUGACGCUGAGGUGCGAAAGCGUGGGAGCAAACAGGG
rnacentral:rRNA from 1 species